rnacentral:tRNA from 11 species
AAGUGGACAGAGUUUGGUGACGCGUUCGGUCUUCAAAUCCGC